rnacentral:rRNA from 1 species
CACCGCGGUUAUACGAGAGGCCCAAGUUGACAGGCACUCGGCGUAAAGAGUGGUUAAUUUUAUUUAAAACUAAAGCCGAACGCCCUCAGAACUGUUAUACGUACUCGAGGGUAAGAAGCCCCACCACGAAAGUGGCUUUAUCCACUUGACCCCACGAAAGCUGGGAAA